rfam:Microgenomates bacterium GW2011_GWC1_46_16 TX38_C0031, whole genome shotgun sequence.
CAUUAAAGAAUUAAGGGCGUAUGGAGGAUGCCUUGACACGAAAGAGCGAAGAAGGUCGUGGCGUGACUGCGAUAAGCUUCGGGGAGCCGUCUAGCGGGCUUUGAUCCGGAGAUGACCGAAUGGGGGAACCCCAUCGAGCAAACCUCGAUGACCCGGCGCAAGCUGGGAGCGUACCUGGCGAAGUGAAACAUCUCAGUAGCCAGAGGAAAAGAAAUCAACAAGAUUCCCUUAGUAGCGGCGAGCGAAAAGGGAUAAGCCUAAACUUUUUUAACGCAAGUUAAAAAGGGGUAAUAAGGAUAGAACACUUGAAUUUUUAUCGUUGCGCUUUCGAAGGCAGCGGUAAAAAUUUGAAAGAAGUUACAAAUUCCAAAGUUAGCAGAACGGCCUUGGAACAGCCGGCCAAAGAAGGUGAUAGCCCUGUAAGCGAAAACUUCUGGAACUUCUGUUUUAUUGCGGCGCAAGCCGCCUUGCUUGAGUAGCCCGGGAUAAGAAUGUCCUGGGUGAAUUUGCCCAUACUACUGGGUAAGGCUAAAUAUCUUUCGUGAUCGAUAGUGAACCAGUACCGUGAGGGAAAGGUGAAAAGCACCCCGGUGAGGGGAGUGAAAUAGCAACUGAAACCAUAUGCCUACAAAGAGCGGAAGUCCUUCGGCGGCAGCAAUGCCGUCUGGGAUGACCGUGUGCCUAUUGAAGAAUGACCCAACGAGUUUAUCCAAAUUGCUCUAUAAGUGCCUCUGGCACGUAUGGAAAGGGAAACCGAGUGUUAAAAGCGCGUAUUAGAACUAAAUAAAAUUUUCUUUAAAAAGAAAGUUUUAAUAGUUCUAGAAGCAGUUUGGGUAAGACCCGAAGCCAGGCGAGCUAACCAUGCCCAGGAUGAAGGUUGUCGAAAGACAACUGGAGGUCCGAACUGGUUGGUAGCGCAAUACCAUCGGAUGAGGUGUGGUUCGUAGUGAAAAGCUUAUCGAGCCUGGUAAUAGCUGGUUCUCCCCGAAAUGCCUUUAGGGGCAGCGGCGGAUUGUAGUUGAGGGGGUAGAGCACUGAUUGGUUUGCCGUGCCCGCAAGGGUAGGCUUACCAAAUAAACUCCGAAUACCUCAGCGUAAUUUCCGCCAGUGAGUAAGCGAGGGCAAAGCUUCGUUUACGCGAGGGAAACAGCCCAGAUCAUCAAUUAAGGUCCCAAAAUCUAUGCUAAGUGAAAAGGAAGUAUUCUGCCUUAGACAGGUAGGAUGUUGGCUUAGAAGCAGCCAUCAUUUAAAAAGUGCGUAAUAGCUUACUACUCGAUUUCGCCGCAAGGCGACGAGGCAGGAUGCGCCGAAAAUUUAUAGGGGCUAAGCAUAGUACCGAAAUUAUGGGUUUGAUGAUUUCGAAAAGGAUUUGUGGUGCCGUAGCUCAGUCAGAGCACUGGGUCCCGGGCCCAGAGGUCGACGGUUCAAAUCCGUCCGGCGCCACCAACCUGUCGGAUUAAAAUCAGGCGAGACCUGAUAAUCCGAUCUUUUUCGAAAUCAUCAAGCGGUAGGGGAGCAUUCUGAUUGCUGUGAAGGUGAACUGUGAAGUUUGCUGGAGCGUUCAGAAGGGAGAAUGUUGGGAUGAGUAACCGCAAGUGGCGUGAAAACCGCCACCGCCGAAAGCCUAAGGUUUCCUCCGCGAUGUCAAUCAUCGGAGGGUUAGGCGUCCCUAAGCGUAACCUAGCUUGCGGGCUAGGGAUCGCGAUGGUGAGCCGGUUAAUAUUCCGGCCCCGCUUACAUAUUCGAAGGAGUGACGGGCUAAAUUAGAUCGAGCGCAUUAUUGGAUUUGACGUCUUUGCUCAUAGAGUGGGAACCAGGCAAAUCCGGUUCCAGCCGAAAGGCGCACUCGAGAGUGAAAGAAAUGGCCGUUAGGCCAGAUUCGAUUGACGAGGGCUCCAAGAAAAGCUUCUAAGAUUAAUAUGUAAGCGCACGUACCGAAAACCGAAACAGGUGGGCUGGUGUAAGUGCACCAAGGCGAACGGGUGAUUAUUGGCUAAGGAACUCGGCAAAAAAGCGGCCGUAAGUUCGCGAUAAGGCCUUGUGCUAAGCCGUAAGGCGCUGUAUACGGGGUGACGCUUGUCCGGUGCCGGAACGUUAACGGUGAAGGUGGCGGGUAGCAAUACCCUCUGCCAACGCCCGAAGCGCCGGUGAACGACGGCAGUAACUAUAACUGUCUAAAAGUAGCAAAAUACCUUGUGGGGUAAGUUCCCACGCGCAUGAAUAGCGGAACGACUGGAGGACUGUCUCAGCCAAUAGCCCGGUGAAAAUGCAAUGUCGGUAAAGAUGCCGACUACCCGCACCUAGACGGAAAGACCCCGGAAGCUUUACUGUAGCUUGGUAUUGGUCUACGAGUUGUCAUACGUAGCGUAGUGAGUAGGAUUUGAAGUCCACCUCUCGGGGU